rfam:Coriobacteriales bacterium DNF00809 genomic scaffold Scaffold18, whole genome shotgun sequence.
GAGCGCGGCAAUAGAGACGGGGAUCACCCGAUCCCGUUCCGAACUCGGUAGUUAAGCCCGUCGUCGCCGAAAGUACUGCAGCGCUAGGCUGUGGAAGGAUAGGGAGCCGUGCUCG